rnacentral:lncRNA from 1 species
UAAAGGAAGAAAUGUAGGGGAAGGAUAAGAGGAAAGUUUUGGUUCGGAAUCAACUAACUAACUUUAUGCUGAACUCCAGUGCAUCAGGCUUCUGAUUUAGAGGAACAUUAAAUUCUCCUGAUGUGAUAAAAGUGGUUUCCAGCUUCUUUCAAGAUCUGACUUCACACAAAGCUAAGUAAUGACCUCUCAGCCUGGUCCCUGAUAGAUGGCACUGUCAUUGGAAACAGUCAUGCUGAGAAAAGAUCAAUGAUUGCUUGGAGCUUCACAACCACUGAGAAUGGCC